UUCACUGCAAAACAGACCCGAAAAGAUUAAAGAGCUGAAGAUGAGAGCUUUGGUGGCGACGCUGUGCCGGAGAAGAGUUCAAGAGCCGUUCUCGCGCUUCUUCUACGGCUCAUUCUCUACGGACAAUGGAGAUGGGUUUCAGAGUUCACGCGUCAAGAUCUUCGAUCGCCAUCUCAAACGCAAACAACGUGAUCGAGCUGCGUGGUUGGCAUGUCCAAAGGAUCCUUUAGUUGACACAGUUGCUGAGAAUCUUUUGGAUCGACUGGAGGAUUGCAAAAAGGCAUUUCCUACAGCGUUAUGUUUGGGGGGUUCAUUGGAAGCUAUUAGGCGUUUGUUGCGUGGGCGUGGUGCCAUCGAAAAGCUCAUUAUGAUGGAUACGUCUUAUGACAUGGUGAAAUUGUGUAGAGAUGCUGAGCAAGAUGUGCCUAAUGAAAGCAUAGAAACAUCCUUUGUGGUUGGUGAUGAAGAGUUUUUGCCCAUAAAAGAAAGUUCUCUAGAUCUGGUAAUCAGCUGCUUGGGACUCCAUUGGACGAAUGAUCUUCCUGGAGCCAUGAUACAGUGCAGAUUGGCAUUGAAGCCCGAUUGCCUAUUUUUAGCAGCUAUUCUUGGUGGAGAAACCUUAAAGGAGCUGAGAAUAGCAUGUACUGUAGCACAAAUGGAGCGUGAAGGGGGCAUAAGUCCACGAGUAUCACCAUUGGCACAGGUUCGGGAUGCGGGCAAUCUUUUGACUCGUGCAGGCUUUACGCUUCCUAGUGUUGAUGUUGAUGAAUACACUGUUAAAUAUAGAAGUGCUCUUGACCUAAUAGAACAUCUGCGUUCAAUGGGUGAAACUAAUGCUCUUCUACAGAAAAGCAAUAUCUUAAAGAGAGAAACAGCCCUAGCAACUGCAGCUGUUUAUGAUUCAAUGUUUGCAGAAGAAGAUGGCACCAUUCCCGCAACCUUCCAGGUUAUUUACAUGACUGGGUGGAGGGAACACUCUUCUCAGCAGAAGGCCAAAAGAAGGGGAUCUGCCACAGUAUCUUUCCAAGACAUACAAAAGCAGUUUGGCAGUGAUAGUUGACUGGUAGUCUUUAUGAAUGUUAAAGACGAUGAAGGAACUUCCCCAACAUGGGCAGAGAGGCAUUCCAAUGCCCACCAAGGUGGCAGCAUUUUCAUAUGUAGCAUGAUUAUUCUGAAGGGAAACAAAAUAAGAGAAGUCAGUUAUGGUUGUUAUACAAUUGCUUUGUAUUGAUGUCCUCACCAAAUUGAAUUGAUGUAGGAGUUUCUACAGAGCAAAAGUACCAGGAGGCAAAGUUAUGGGUGCCUUUUCCUUUAAGUUAAAAAACUGUUCCAAUGGAGGAUAUGAGAAGUCACUGUGUCAUGGGUUAAUUAUCUCAGAUAAUGUGAUGGGUUUUUAGUGAUGUUGGGUAGACUUUUUAAGACACAACUGAUGCCCUAGAUGGUUGAUGUUGCUUCAAGAGCUGGUAGAUCCUUUCGGUGGACGUCUUGCUUAGCCAAGCAUGCAGAUGGGUUAGUAAACUUUUAUUUUAAAAAAAUUUGGAUGAUUGUUGACAUAAAGCUGGUGAUAAUUCAUGAUUAGAUGUUGAUUAGAUGUAGGACGAACGUCACUCUUGUGUUUUCCUAAUGGAUUUGUGACUC